rnacentral:lncRNA from 1 species
CCCCAGUAACGUACCUCCGACGUUUCCACCCAGCAAAUUCCCUCCGAGGCCGCCACCCAAAACGUUGUCCAGCAGCGAAUUCCCAUUGCCAUCGAGCAGUCCUUCUGGCUCUGCUGAAGAAGACGCAGACGCGUUCUGUUCACGCCGCGGAGAGGAGUAAAAAGAAGGGGAUGCCAAGCCUACAGAGUUGAGAGCGGCUUGAGCGAGGGCAGGAACGUCUGGGGUGGGGAAGGGAGCUUGCGAGCGGAGAAGAGCAGAGACGUCCCCGACAGCGGUGAGUGCGUCGGUCGACAAGAGUCCAGGAACUCCGGAGGCUAAGGCAGCGAAACUCAGAGGCGUUGUGGAUCGCGGAGAGGACAGCGCUGUCUCGCCGAGGACGGGACUGAGGAGAGAGGAAAAGCUUGGAGGAAACAAGGAAGCAUCUGGUUGAGGCGAAGAAGUGCUACGUACAGAAGGCGCUUGUGGCAGCGAGGAAGAAGACUUGGGGCGUGGGGAGGAGCUAGGGCGCGAAACGGACUGUUUUGCUGGUUGAGAGGCGGCAGCGGCGACGGGGGCUCCUUGGGCCUUUUCUUCUUUUGCUCUGCGGAAUGGAGAGGCACUUGCGGUAGAAGUUUCCGGAGAAACAGUGAACGUUUCCGGGAGUGGAAAGGCGGUGGCUUUGGAGUCCACGCCGCGCAGACGGCGGGCCGUCACCGUCGUUCGGGGAAAGAAAGACUUCUGAAGACAAAACAUAGGGUAACGCGUACUCUUUAUGAAAAGCGAAGACUCUAUUGAAACCACAAUUCAACAAUGAUAUGUGGGGAUAGUCGGUGACGAGAAGGCGGCCUUUACCAUUUUGUAACGGUUCUUCCACAACAAAGAGAGAUGCACGUUUGUGAAACGCACAUCGUGCGAUAAGACUACAGAGAGUUUGUUCGUUGUUCUGGAACGUGGAUCUUCAUGAUUUGCUGUUGGCACAGAAAAAGGAAUUGGGGAGACGCAAAGAACAGUAAAGAGUGGGAUAUACAUCGGUGAAGCAAAGACAACAGUUGUCCCUAAUCACAGAAAAGCA